GUGGGGAAUCUUGCGCAAUGGGCGAAAGCCUGACGCAGCCAUGCCGCGUGAAUGAUGAAGGUCUUAGGAUUGUAAAAUUCUUUCACCGGGGACGAUAAUGACGGUACCCGGAGAAGAAGCUCCGGCUAACUUCGUGCCAGCAGCCGCGGUAAUACGAAGGGGGCUAGCGUUGCUCGGAAUUACUGGGCGUAAAGGGCGCGUAGGCGGACAGCUUAGUCAGAGGUGAAAGCCCAGGGCUCAACCUUGGAAUUGCCUUUGAUACUGGCUGUCUUGAGUUUGGGAGAGGUGAGUGGAACUCCGAGUGUAGAGGUGAAAUUCAUAGAUAUUCGGAAGAACACCAGUGGCGAAGGCGACUCACUGGCCCAAUACUGACGCUGAGGCGCGAAAGCGUGGGGAGCAAACAGGAUUAGAUACCCUGGUAGUCC
rnacentral:rRNA from 1 species